AUUUGAACCGAACCGACAGGCACAUACAGUGAUAAAACAUUGCAAAAUAAAAUGUAAACAUCGUUUGGGAGUUUAACCGAACUGAUGGUAACACAAAAUGCAAUACAUUAAGAAGUAUGCAAAACUGUAAUCACUUGAAAUAGACCUAAACCGUGAUGAAGCCGUGGAACCGUGACUAUGGCGCGACAGGUCAGUGUCUUACGGUUUGGCGUGGUUCUGGUUAAUUUCCCCUGGAG